rnacentral:lncRNA from 1 species
GGCAGUUGGGGGAAAGAGGUAGAGGAGGCAAUCAUUCACUGAGUAUAAACACCUGCCAACAUUCCAUAGGCAGAUGUUCUCCAUUGUAAAGGAGUGUGUUGCCCUGUUCUGGAACUGAUGCCAAACAGAAGGUCCUCUUGGCAGGCACAUUAGCCCUCACUGUGCUCUGCAGAUUACUCCUCUGAACCAUCUUAGAUUGGCAAAUGUGCCUUAUAGAAAUUGGCUUACCACCCACUUCACAGGCCUCCCGCCAGCCAAACAGAUGGGCACAAGUUGUUUGGCUAGAGAAAGCCUUCUAGCACCUGGGAAGCUUGCUUUCUGAAACCUGCUAGAGUUCAGAUUUAAUGCCUUGUCCUCCAGUAGAAGCCAAAUCCCCAACCUGGGACUUCCAUGACUCUGAGGAAAGCCAACAGGAUGAAAGGUACAGCACAAUCGCAAAUUUGAAAGAGAACACUGAUGGAAGAUUCUGACAAGACAAAGAACAGGUACAUGGAGCCCAAGACACUUAAGGUCCUUCAUGU